CCCUGGGCAGCAGGCAGAGGGGCCCUGGUAAAGCCGGGCCAGAGCCCCUUGGAGCUCCCAGGCUUGUAGGAGGAGCAGGGCCCAGGACCUGGGCCACAUGCAGGUCCCCAGGAAUGGCCAGCUGGGGCGGCGAGGCUGCGGCCCCCAGGGAGCUCCCAGAGGUGGGAAGUCUGGCUUGGACGGCCCCCACUCACUGUCUCCUUCUAGACAUCCAGCCCGGCCUGGGACGCCCACCCGCCUGGGGGCUGGCGCAUCCCGGCUUCCUGCCCGCCUCGGGCUCCUCGGCCCUCGCGUGCUCCUCGACCUGCCCGCUCCAGGCACCUCCUGUGGUCCUCCCGGCCAGAUCCAGCCCUCACCACCCGCCCCCAGGGGCGGGGCCGGGCCUGCCCUGCCCCUGCGCACCCUCAGUGCAGACGCCCAGCGCCGAGCAGGCCCCGAGAACAUCACUGACGAGAGAGAUGGGCUCUCCUGAGACCACCAGCUGGCAAGAGAGGAGACUGGCCGUGGGGUAGAGUCCAGGCCUGACCCAAAGGCCAGAAGAGGACGGAAGGUGGGGAGGGGAAAACCACGUCAGCCCCUCAUCCACGGCGUCCGACAGCGGCUCCUAGGAUCCAUCACUCAGCUGCGAAUCUCCCGGACCUGCGCAGAGGCUGCCAGGCCCGCCCCACCUCCGUGUCGCUGGGAGGCUGUGCCCGCAACCCCCAGGAAAGAGGGCCCUGCCCUGUGAGAUCCAGGACUCAGGACCUCAUCCCCCAUCCAGGCAGAGGCCAAGCCUCAGGCAGAGUGAGGUCCACCUGUGAACCAGGCUGGCUGGUCUGGGAGGGUCCAGGAGGGCAGAGUGAGGAGUCCAAGACUCCAGCCCCAAGGUGGGGGCCACAGAGGGGCGAUCCUUUCAGCCCCUUUCAGCUGCUGCCUGGGUGACACAGCCAGCCCACGGGUACGGACGACACUUCUGGGCUGUUAUCGAAUCACUACCUGCUCUGGCCGCACGCCUCCGCCGCUGCUGCAGCUUCUUAAACCUCUGGAAGUUGCCUGUGGGUUGGGUACUCAGAAUGCUCUCUUUGACCUCCUCACCCUCACCCACAUGUGCAGACCCAGCCCUUCAGAAGAUGCAGACGCACUUGUUCUGCCAUUUCUCAAACGCUCCAGGCCCCCCUCCUGCACCGUGCUCUGCUCCUGAGAUGAAGACCCCCACACGGAGAGGGCCUGCCCACCUCGAGGCUCCUGGAACCCCUUCACUCUCCACGCCCCGUGGCAGGGCUCAGCCCUGCCCUCCCCUCUGCCCUGACAGGUCCUGGUUGCCUGGGGCAAUGCUGCAUCUCCUUGCUGGCUCCGGUCAGCGGCUGGGCCCCUGUCACCUGCUCGCCUGUCUCUCAGGAUUGCCUCUCCACCACCCCGUCACACUGCAAGCUGCGUGCAUGUGGGGCCCUUCUGGUCUCACCGCUGAGCGAAUGUCCAGCUUCAGGAGGGAAGGAGUCCUUUGUGGGGUCCUCACCAGGUGAGGCAGAGUGGGUGAGGCGAGUGGUGGGCACUGCAGCCGGCUCUCCUGAUGACUGGAGUCACCUUGCCACACAGCCAGGGCUCUGUGCCUGCAGCUCCUUCCUUCCUUCCUUCCUCCCGAAGAAGCAUCUCAAACACCUCCGCUCUCCCCCUCUUUCCCCUGCAGCCCCAUCUCCCUCCGUGGCCCUUCCUGCUGGCAGACCAGCUCUCACUCCCCAGCCCAAGCCCACUGUGCCUCCCGUCAGCCACCAAGGUUGCUUCCCCCGACUGCCCCUGUCCAGAGAUCGCUUAGCUCUCUCCUCCUUGGGGUGAGCUCAAUGCUGGGAACAGGGCGUGCUGUGAGCUCUGUUAGUGGGGCUGAGAGGGUUCUGGGGUGGCCCCUGUGCCCGGUCCCCGUCCCGUGCCAUCUUGGUAGGCAGGUCCCCAGGCCUCUCCCUGCCCAGCCCACCUGCCAUUUGAGGGCCAAAGCCUGGGGAGGGUCCGAGCCUUGCGGGGCCCUCCUGACCGGGCAACAGGAUGGGGAGGUUGGCCCCCCCAGCCUUGCCCCCCAGCCUUCCCAGCACGGAUCCAGUCCUGGGCUCCACCUCUCGCCCUCAGAGACCUGGCCCUGAGCUGCCUGCAGGCCAAGCGUUUAAAAGUGACGCCUGUUGUGCAGGGAACGUCACAGGGCCUGGGGCCAGAGCCGAGCGGGGUCAUUUUUUUUAUUAUUAUUAAAAAGUAAAACCUAAACCAAGAAAACAAAGUGAUUAAGUUUCUCCUCAGAGCAGCGGGCCCAUGAGGACUGGGACGCCCAGCUCCCUGGCGCGCCGACCCUCCACUACUCGCGGGAAGCAAGCGGACUGUGUACACAAACAGGAAGUGACUGGUUUUCCCCAAAUGUGAGGGCUGGGCUGGGGUCCCCAGGAGCAUGGGCUGGCUGGAGCCAGAAGCCCGGCUGGGUGGGCUGCCUGCAUCCUCAAGGAAACCCUCAAGGGAGACCCCUCAAGGGAGACCCCUGGCCUCUGACCCCCGGGCCAGGGAGAUGGGGUGUCCAAGGAUUGGGGCUCCGGCACAUGGCCCCCCACCACGGUGGAGCUCAGUUACUCCAUGUGGGCUGCCUGACC
ensembl:lncRNA